CCAUGCUAGAUGGGGAAUUAGCGGCACCCUGUAACUUGUAAUCCGCUACAACAAGAUUGAAUUCCCGAUCCAGCGCAUUUCUUUUGCGGCCUGCCCGAGAAAAGUGAUGUUGAGGAGUGGGUCCUACGCAAUAAGCCCUUGCGAACCGUGUCAGGUCUUGACGGAAGCAGCACUAAGUAAGUCCGCUUAUGUGACGUAGAUUCGCCUGCUCUGAGUUAACUCUCUCGGUAACGCGUGGAAGACUUGUGCAAAGUCGGGUGCAUGG
rnacentral:SRP_RNA from 1 species